UACGUAGGGGGCGAGCGUUGUCCGGAUUUAUUGGGCGUAAAGAGCUCGUAGGCGGCUCGGUAAGUCGGAUGUGAAACCUCCAGGCUCAACCUGGAGACGCCAUCUGAUACUGCCGUGGCUUGAGUCCGGUAGAGGAGCAGGGAAUUCCUGGUGUAGCGGUGAAAUGCGCAGAUAUCAGGAGGAACACCAGCGGCGAAGGCGCUGCUCUGGGCCGGUACUGACGCUGAGGAGCGAAAGCAUGGGGAGCAAACAGG
rnacentral:rRNA from 1 species